CGGACGGGUGAGUAACGCGUGGGUAACCUGCCUUGCACUGGGGGAUAACACUUAGAAAUAGGUGCUAAUACCGCAUAAGCGCACGGUCCUGCAUGGGACAGUGUGAAAAACUCCGAUGGUGCAAGAUGGACCCGCGUCUGAUUAGCUGGUUGGCGGGGUAAAGGCCCACCAAGGCGACGAUCAGUAGCCGGCCUGAGAGGGUGGACGGCCACAUUGGGACUGAGACACGGCCCAAACUCCUACGGGAGGCAGCAG
rnacentral:rRNA from 1 species